rnacentral:lncRNA from 1 species
CUUCUCAGUUACCCACUUUUGAAUUAAGCAGCAUCUUCCUCUGAACCCAUAACAGUGCAGGAGGAGGGGAAGGAAGCCGUGGCACAGAUCUCCCCGCAGAAGCAAUGGAGGGAAGCGUGCACGCAUGGCAGGGUGCUGUGUUACCUCCCUGCCCCCCUUGGCUGCAUUCAGCACCGCAAAUCCUCCCAUAUCCAACAGCCGUCCCGCACAACAGAUACAACAGUGACCAAGUUUAAGGAAGUUUAAUAAACAGGCCAAAGAAAACAAUACGACUUCGAACCAGCAGCGAGCAUGGUUUAACCACCAGCCAACUGAGAAAUUCUCAUUAUACCUCACACGCAGAGCCCUUCACCACUUCCAUGUGCUAAGGCCGGAUCCUGAAACCAUCGCUCCUCUGGGAGCAGCGCGGCUCCCGACCUUCCUCGGCGCAAACCCUCCCACGUGGGACCUUCAGAGCAGCGCCGACAGCUCCUUUUGUUUCGUCUUUCGUUUCUUCGGACAGCCCGCAGGAACGCGCAAACCCACGUGCCUCGCGGCCGCCCGCGCCCGAAG